rnacentral:rRNA from 1 species
UAGGGAAUCUUCGGCAAUGGACGAAAGUCUGACCGAGCAACGCCGCGUGAGUGAAGAAGGUUUUCGGAUCGUAAAACUCUGUUGUUAGAGAAGAAAAAGGACGUUAGUAACUGAACGUCCCCUGACGGUAUCUAACCAGAAAGCCACGGCUAACUAAGUGCCAGCAGCCGCGGUAAUACGUAGGUGGCAAGCGUUGUCCGGAUUUAUUGGGCGUAAAGCGAGCGCAGGCGGUUUCUUAAGUCUGAUGUGAAAGCCCCCGGCUCAACCGGGGAGGGUCAUUGGAAACUGGGAGACUUGAGUACAGAAGAGGAGAGUGGAAUUCCAUGUGUGGCGGUGAAAUGCGUAGAUAUAUGGAGGAACACCAGUGGCGAAGGCGGCUCUCUGGUCUGUAACUGACGCUGAGGCGCGAAAGCGUGGGGAGCAAACAGG